AUGAAUAUUUGAAUUGGUAUUUGCGAGCCGAGCAGUCUCAAUUUAGUAAGCCCUAUUCAUUUUUAAGGUCUACAUAAAAGCAAAAUCUUUCGAAAACCAACAAACAAAGUAGACUCUAAAUAUCGAACCCCCAACCAGCAAUUCCAAAAUUCCACACAGAUUAUAAAGGACUCGUUCAGAAAACAACUCAGCUUAUUUGUUUGUACCUGGAUUGUGAAGUUUUAGGAAAUGUGGAUUUGACUGCUAAUAGAAACUACGACGGCAAAGGCUUACGAAAGUUCGCAGUCGAAUGAUAGCCACACAGCAGUCACAAUUUGCCAACCACUUAGUACCUGGUUCUAUGAAGAUUUUCUAGAGAAAUCAAAAUGUGUUGCACGUCUUGGGGUGGUUUUUGCGGAACUGGCUGACCUUGCUGUGGCCAUUGUGGACCUUGUUGUGGAGGCUGCAACCCAUGCUGUUAAAAUGAAUCAUCUUCAGAACGAAAUUUAGGUACUGCAUCAAUGCUUGUGUAAAUAAAUAGCAAAAUCCAUGCGUA